UAUCAAACAAAAUAAAUCUUCAUCUUAAUAAUACAAAAAUAAGGAUCAUAUCGUUUUUGAUAUCCAUGUACUUGAACGCUUGUUAACUGUCCUUCUUGUUGCAUUCUAUAAUAAACACGUAUGUAUAAAUAAUUUUAAAUUUUAUAUAAUUAUAAGAAGCAAAUUACUAAACUUACGUAUAUGUACGAGGUAUAAAAGAUAAUAAUGCUCCAUCAUUAUGAUCACUCGAAAAUCUAAGUUGUGCUAAAUUAUGUAGAAAGAAAUUAAAUUGUGUAAACCAA